rnacentral:rRNA from 1 species
UACGUAGGGAGCAAGCGUUGUCCGGAAUCAUUGGGCGUAAAGCGCGCGUAGGCGGCCUCAUAAGUCCGUUGUGAAAGUCAAAGGCUCAACCUUUGAAAGCCGAUGGAUACUGUGAGGCUAGAGUCCGGAAGAGGCGAGUGGAAUUCCUGGUGUAGCGGUGGAAUGCGCAGAUAUCAGGAGGAACACCAAUAGCGAAGGCAGCUCGCUGGGACGGUACUGACGCUAAGGCGCGAAAGCAUGGGGAGCGAACAGG